AGCCCAAAAAAAUAUUUUUUGGUAAUAUCUUUGUCAAAAGAAAGUAGAAAGGGAUUUCAAAUAUAUAUGGUCCCUCUCCUCUGAGCACGAAGCAACAGGCUUUUUGCAUAAAUGCUUCCUCUUACCUUGCAUUGCAUCAGUAGCCACAGUUCCCUUUCUGAGCUUGGAACUUUGUUGGGAACUUCAAAAAAAAAAGAGAGAAAAAGACACACACAUGCAAACAACAAAUGUUAAUUUCUAUAUGCUAUACUAUUUUUAAUAUCUAAAAAUAUUUUUUGAAUAAUGUAUAAUAUCACUAAUUUCUUCCCUGAUAAGUAGCCAUUUAGUUAAGUCUUUAAGAUUGUUACAACUCUAUAAAUUAAGAACUGUUAAUGUUACCAGUGACGAUUGUCAUUUACAAAUUAGAGCUUAAAUGAAUAGGCCCGUUUAAAAUUGAAAAAGCGUUCGCCCUAGGAAGACUCUCCCAGGCCCGCUUCCCAAGACGGCCGCUUGAAUGGAUUCUCAACGUUUCAGCUCUGCCGUCCGUUCUUACUCCCUUUGAAGAAUCUCCUCUGCUCGUCCAUGGUUUCGAUGGUAACUGCUCCUUCUCCGUCCCGAUCCAGGCCUCCUCCAGAUCCACCGCCGUCCUUUGCCGUGUUUGUUGUCAUCUUCGGAGCUUCUCCGCUGGAGCCUCCAAAGCCACCAGAUGACUCACCUCUUGCCAUAGUGCAACCCUCUACUGCAGUAUGCAGAUUUUUUACCUUUACUGCAGUAAGCAGUUCCGCUUUUGGUGUAUUCAGGGAUACAUCUCCAUUUUCAGCUCAAUUGGCGUAGAGUUCAGAGGACUUCUCUACCAUAUUAGUUGCUUAUGUGUUAUGUAUGCCUACAUCUAUCUCUGUUUUUCUAUGUGCUCAGCUUUUGUUAUAACUGUUUCUUUUGCCAGUAUGGUUUUAUUGUCAAGUAUUGUGAACAUUUCCUUUUCUAAUGGAGAAUAAAAAUCUA